rnacentral:rRNA from 1 species
UACAGAGGUCCCAAGCGUUGUUCGGAUUCACUGGGCGUAAAGGGUGCGUAGGUGGUGAGGUAAGUCGGAUGUGAAAUCUCGGAGCUCAACUCCGAAACUGCAUUGGAAACUACCUUGCUCGAGGGUUGGAGGGGGGACUGGAAUUCUCGGUGUAGCAGUGAAAUGCGUAGAUAUCGAAGAGGAACACCAGUGGCGAAGGCGAGUCCCUAGACAACUCCUGACACUGAGGCACGAAAGCUAGGGGAGCAAACAGG